CCAGACGCUGCGAGUGUUGACCGCUCCAACACAAACUGAGAGGCCCUUUUAAUCUGGUUAAAGAGAAGCUCAACAGAAAGUGAAACAUUUCCCGUCCCUUGAGGAGAGAACUCCAGGCCAGCCGGGAUCACUGGGUCUGAGGCCCCAAUCCGGAAAUACCGGUUCCUCCCGCUGGGACAAUAGGUGAGGGCGUGAGCGUUAACCGAGAUCUAGCUUGGUCUCCGCUGGAAUCCUUGCUCAGAUGGGAAGGCAGAAUCCUCCUAGUGCCCAAGCCUGCAACUGGCGAGCAGGAAUUUACUGAAAGGACACACAAGAGAAGACCUGAUAAACCAGAACUAAGGAGAGGAGCCCAGGACACUUGUGGAUUCAGAGCCUCAGAUUCACAUGGACAGCCUUUCAAGAAGCUGCCUUUGGAUGACUCAUUCACAGCCACCUCCAGUACACAUGUGUUCCUGCUCAGAUUCAGAUUCCUGAGCAAGAUGAACUGAUUGGUGUUUCUUUGGUCAUGUGCCACCCCUGACUUUAACCCCUGUGGUUGAAAACCCACCAGAAUCAGACAAAACAGGCUAAGUGCUGUUACUAGGAGAAGGGGAAGAACUUCUAAGGAGCAGAAAAAGGAUUUUAUAAAAAUCGUCCUCAUCUUAUUGAUUUAAACAUUAUGCAGGUAGCAAGUAAGCAAAUGCAUUUGUGAAAAACCAAAUAAUGAAGAGUAUAGAAUAAUACCUUACUUCUUACCUUACUCUCACCCCCAGAGAUAGAGGGGACGUUAGGUUUGAUUGCUACAACCUUCUUAUACUGUCGACCAUUUGGAAACAGCUACAUCAGCUGUAAAGAGGAGCGUCAGCUGGUGUGAUGGCUGCCUCCACUCCAACUUGAAAGGUGGUAGAUGUCUGUCAGAGGGAACUGCCUUUGCUGUUUGAAGGAUGUACCCCUGCCAAACGUGGGUUCACAGCACCGAGAGGCUACCAUAAAGUCCCAGGAGUGUGAAUGGUAUGAGGGACAGCCAGCUCAUGAGGUCCCACAGAAUCUUAAAAAACCCGAUGAUGUGAGAAACUGAAUCGCAUAGCCUGGAACUACAGCUUGAGGGUGAACGGCCUUUUUCCAAGAAAUAACUAGGAACAUGGAACCUGAAGCAAAUGCUUGAAUAAGAAUAAUGGAACAACUAGCAGCCAUUUAAGAACUUGUUCUUGUAUGACCUAUGGCCUGGAUCCAUUUGUAAACGAGGCAGAAAAGAAGGGGAAGAAACCAGAUAUUACUUACUAAAUAGACAUCAAGCACGGAGGCAUCAUCUUGCAUUUCCAGAGCAUCUGGCUCAGAAGUCAAGUAGAUGGUCCCCUCUUCCAAGGUAAAGGUGGAACUGGAAGGUAACCCUUUACUGGAAAAAUAAGGAAGAAUGAUGAGCAUGUGGCCUUCAGAACAAAAUCCAAGGACCCCUCCCAAGUGGUGGCUGAGGGUCCCUACUGCUGCUUCUGCGUCACACACCGGGCCUGUUCUCGCCAUUGGCAUCAUCUCUGCCUGGUCCCUCUGUGUGCAUGUCAGCCCAACAUCCUCACUGCACUGUAUGAAGAAGCUGAGGCUUGAGAGGCAUAGUAACUUGCUCAAGGUCACACUAGAGUUGAAUAGAGCUAGAAUAUGAACUUUGUUUUCCAAUUAAACACCUUCUCUAUGGUCACCCCUGAUGAAAUUUUAUAAAUUUGUUACUGCAGAAAUUGAGGGAGCUGAGACCAAUGUGCCUAGGAGCUUGAGGAGCAUCCCAUAAGCCAGCAAAAACAAAUGCGGGUUUGAUGCUUGAUGUGAGCUGUGGAGAUCUUUUGUUUGAGAAGAGUUAUGGCCAGAGAGGUUUGAGGAAAAGUAAGUAGGCAAAAUAUGCUGUACAAAGCAACAUAUUUAUCUUUCUCAAAAAAGUUAAAAUAGAAUUACCACUCGAGCCAACUAUCUCAUAUAUACCCCAAAGAAUGGAAAACAGGGUCUCAGAUAUUUGUUCCCUCAGUGUUAUGGGCUGAACUGUGGGCUUCCCUCCAGCCUCCAUUUAUAUCUUUAAGUCCUAAGCCCAGUACUUUAGUAUGUGUUGGUAUUUGGAGAUAGGCUCCUUAAAGAGGUAUAAUUAAGGUUAAGUGACAUAAUUGGGAUGGCUCUGAUUCAAUAUGAUUUGUGUCCUUACGGGAAGAGGAGGAGGGGAUUAGGACUUGGAUACACAGAGAAAAGACCAUGUGAAGAGGAAGAAGACGGCCCAUCUACAAGCCAAGGAGAGCCGCCUCAGAGAAAACCAACCUUGCUGACACCUUGAUCUUGGACCUCUAGCCUCCAGAACUGUGAGAAAAUAAAUUUCUGUUGUUUAA